rnacentral:tRNA from 1 species
AUUUAAAUAGUUUAUUAAAAAAUAUUGAUUUGUGGUGUCAAUGAUAUGAAUUUAUUCAUUUUAAAUC